UACGUAGGUGGCAAGCGUUGUCCGGAUUUACUGGGCGUAAAGAGCGCGCAGGCGGUCGUUCAAGUCGCGUGUGAAAGCCCCCGGCUCAACUGGGGAGGGUCACGCGAUACUGAUCGACUCGAAGGCAGGAGAGGGUAGUGGAAUUCCCGGUGUAGUGGUGAAAUGCGUAGAUAUCAGGAGGAACACCUGUGGCGAAAGCGGCUCACUGGACCACAACUGACGCUGAUGCACGAAAGCUAGGGGAGCAAACAGG
rnacentral:rRNA from 1 species